GAGUAUAUCAAUAAAGGACGCAGUUACAAUGGGAUUGUUAAGUGUGGUAUCCAUGUAGAGGAGGAGGAGGAGCCUCCCUAUAAAAGACUGAAACAUGAAGAAGAUCAAACACCUCAUGUUGCUUUUAAGGUGCUCGGCAGUGGAUAUGAUUUCCCUCUUGGUAUAAAUACCAUCACUCACUAAUCAGUGGCAAAGAACAUGUCGUUUUCCUCUCCAAGUGGCAAAGACAUUGAUACUAAUGUUAUAUCUUUAUAAGGUGAG
rnacentral:misc_RNA from 1 species